rnacentral:lncRNA from 1 species
AAAAAAAAAAAGGAAAUUCUUAUUGCAUAGGGUCAUGAGGAUUAAACGGCGACAAGCACAUGAGCCUGGUGUCUGGCACAUCCCAUCAUAUUUGCUGUUAUGAUUAUUACUGCAAUGCUUACAUGGGCACAGCUCUGGGGAAACUUAGCCAUGGUUUGAUAUUAGUGACGUCAAUAGACAAGUUAGUGAUAUCAGCUGAAACUCGAGAUUGCCAAUGUUUAUAAACAAAGCAUCCUGCUCUGCUGCCCAAAGUUUGAAGAGCUUCAUGUCUUAGUGAAAGUAGCCAGUCUGUGAUUUACCUGCAUGGGACUUGCCUGCUGAUCUCUGCAGGCAUAAGCAUCUUUGCCCAGGUGGCAUCUACUGCUUGCCAUCUGAAGGUGGGACUAGAACUUUAGGUCCUUCACAGUUGGAUCAACUCUAGAUUUGCGGGCUUCACUCUCUAGAGACAGUCUCCUGGUGAGGGGAAGCUAUUUUCCGUCUACCUCAUACUUCCUAGUUUGCCAGUAUAAAAGAAAAUCAUUUAAAACUUUACUUUCUGAUAUGUAUUUUAUGGUAAGAUGUUGAAAAAAUAUACAUUUUCAAAUGCUGAACACACUUCUAUAAAAGGUCAUGCUGACCAUUGGAAAAUUAGCGAGAUCGAGACCAUGGUGAAACCCCAUCUCUAUUAAAAGUACAAAAAAUUAGCCGGGCGCAGUGGCAGGCGCCUGUAGUCCCAGCUACUCGGAAGGCUGAGGCAGGAGAAUGGCGUGAACCCAGGAGGCAGAGCCUGCAGUGAGCCGAGAUUGUGCCACUGCACUCCAGCCUGGGCGACAGAGCGAGACUCCAUCUCAAAAAAAAAAAAAAAAAAAAAAAAAAGAAAAUCUAGAAGGCAUGGACACGUUUCUGAAAACAGGGGAAAAAAAAUCCA